ACAGUAAUUCACGUUCCACAAACGCAAUAUUAAUCAGAAAGCCAUUUUAGACGAGUGGUGUUCUAAACCUAUAUGAUAUUCUAUCUAUAUGUUUUAACUGUACCUCUCCUAUAAAAGUGAUUAUUUUGGCAACACGGAGAUUCUGUCCACGGCAGUGAUAUAUAAAAUUUUAAAAAUCCGAAAAUACACAACAAAUGACAGACAGACAGUCGACAGAUCGACAGACAGAGGGACGAGCGGGCAGGAGGGCGGUUGGGCGGGCGUGCGGUUAAGCAGAUAGACGGAUGGAUGGAAGGAUACAGUAGAUAGAAUAUGCUACGACAUAUAAGAAAUAAUAUCUUAUAUGUAAGCCCAGCUGGCCUCAAUUUACAUUACGUACAUACAUACAUAACAUACAUACAUAAGAGUACCUUUCCAACAAGUUUUCCCUUCCGGUUCAUGCAGAGAUACCGUCCACUUUCUGCACCUUUAAUCCUGACACGGCUGCCAAAAGUGUCUGUCUCAACAAAGAGACGAGCUGCAAUAAAAUGUAAAAAGGUACAUAUUAUUUUGAGUCUCUAUGUACAAACUUGAAAGUUGUCAUGGACAACACAGUUAGAUGGAAGUUCCGAAUCUAUUAGAUCUGGAUAAAUGGCUUUUUUUUUUUUUUUACUUUCAAGCACCAAUGGCAUGCUUGUGGUGUGUAUUGAAACAAUAUGCCCUUGGACACGUAAAGCACAAUCUGUUGGGUGGCAAAACCAGCUUGACUGAUACCGGAUGGCUGGAGGUGAAACCUGACUGUGCCGAAGGACAAAGCCUACUCAGCAGGAGUGGAAUUGAUCUAUUGUUUGUAUUUAAUAAAUUACUCAAAAUUCUCAACCAUACAUUAACUGAUUAAUGUGAGAUACAUAUCCACUGUCAAUGUCAAAUAAUUAAUUAAACAAAAAUGUUGUCUAGUCAUAA